rnacentral:snRNA from 1 species
AUCUUUGCGCAGAGGCGAUAUCGUAACCAAUGAGGUUCUACCGAGGUGCGAUUAUUGCUAGUUGAAAACUUUUACCAAUACCCCGCCAUGACGAUGUGAAAUACCAUCGGCUACGGCAAUUUUUGAAAGUUUCUGCGGAAA